CUGGAACACGUUGUUUAGUCAUAUGUCUGGUUCAGCCAGUAGCAACGUGGACUGGAACACGUUGUUUAGUCAUAUGUCUGGUUCAGCCAGUAGCAACGUGGACUGUAACACGUUGUUUAGUCAUAUGUCUGGUUCAGCCAGUAGCAACGUGGACUGUAACACGUUGUUUAGUCAUAUGUCUGGUUCAGCCAGUAGCAACGUGGACUGGAACACGUUGUUUAGUCAUAUGUCUGGUUCAGCCAGUAGCAACGUGGACUGGAACACGUUGUUUAGUCAUAUGUCUGGUUCAGCCAGUAGCAACGUGGACUGGAACACGUUGUUUAGUCAUAUGUCUGGUUCAGCCAGUAGCAACGUGGACUGGAACACGUUGUUUAGUCAUAUGUCUGGUUCAGCCAGUAGCAACGUGGACUGUAACACGUUGUUUAGUCAUAUGUCUGGUUCAGCCAGUAGCAACGUGGACUGUAACACGUUGUUUAGUCAUAUGUCUGGUUCAGCCAGUAGCAACGUGGACUGGAACACGUUGUUUAGUCUUAUGUCUGGUUCAGCCUGUAGCAACGUGGACUGGAACAGGUUGUUUAGUCAUAUGUUUGGUUCAGCCAGUAGCAACGUGGACUGGAACACGUUGUUUAGUCAUAUGUCUGGUUCAGCCAGUAGCAACGUGAACUGGAACACGUUGUUUAGUCAUAUGUCUGGUUCAGCCAGUAGCAACGUGAACUGGACCAGCGUACUGAUUUAGCAUACAGUUGUUACACAUUUGUUAACUACCAGAUUACCUUGUAGCUCGUACAAUGCUUUGUAUUGAUAGCAGCUGAUGUAGCGACUAGUACAUGUAGCAUAAGCAACACCACUUGUCAAGUUGGUUCCCAGCUUGUGAACAAUGCUUUAUAAAGCAGCUACGUAGUGUAAUUACAGUUUCAUGAAUGCUUAUAAAGUGAGUAAAUAAAAAAAGCCAAAUUCUUUGACAAUGGUGCUGCGAAAAUAACCUGGUGCUAGAGGCGUCCUCGGGGGUCAAACUCCGUCAGGUCAGGUGUUGGCUGACCAGUGCCUUUUCUACUUGAAUCCUGCCCUCCAUUAAGGCAUUUGUCUCUAAAUUCUGCCGUUUUAGUAUUUGACAUUUUAGAAUUUGUCUCUAAAUUCUGCCAUUUUAGUAUUUCUCUAAACUCUGCCAUUUUAUUAUUUCUCUCUAAAUCUCAGUAGAAUUCAGUUUUGACCUUAUGUACAGUAAUGGGAGAAUUGUUGUUCAGUGUACAGGGGAAUAGAAUCAUUAGAAUCAUGUUACUUUUAGCCAUUCUCAGAGAAUUACGGAGGGCAUAGAGGUUUUAGAACAGCAGCACAAGGGAGGAAUAUAUGAAUUGCUCAUUUAAGUUAUCAGUGCAUUGCUUUUAUAAAUUAGAAUUAAUCAUUUUGUAUGCCUCCAAGAAUGAGUAUUUCUUCUGUCAUUUUGAUGUAGUGAGUGGCUGUAAUAUUUUGUUUAGGCAAUAUGCAAACACUUGACCCGCCUCCCCUAAUUUAUGCACUCUGUGUAAUUAUUACUAACGAUGAUACAUUGUUCUAAGAAUUAAUUUCCUGUCAAAUGUUUCGCUUUUAAAUGAGUUCUUUCAGAAUUCCUUUGUUUUUGAGGAUACUCUGUUAAAAACAACAAUAUGUUUUCUCAUCACGGCUCUGAUAAAUCAUCAAUACUUAAAGUAGUUUAAACUCUGAGACCUUUAUUCUUAUUCACCUUUGUUUUAACCACUUUUUUUGACAAUGUAGUUUAUUUUGUAAAUCUGUGACCACUGAGAGAUACUGUAUAUGUGUCACUAUUGAUUUUGAUAUGUCAUUUUUAGUUUGACCAUACACAUUAGAGUUGAUAAUGAUGAUAAAUCUUCAGCAGUCCUUUACGUUUCUAAAGACUCAGAAGCAGUUUAUAUCACUCCUGAUUCAGGGAUCCUUUUAGUCAUGCAACCUGAGUAAAUUAGGAUUUACCACAAGGUUCUGACAGAUGAAUGAUUAGUCUUGUAAAUGUUUUGCUUUAUAAGUGAUGUAUCCUCUAUGUACAGUCAUAUUUUUCCAGCAGCUUCCCAUUCCUGUAGUGGUGGGACAGAGGUUAUUCUGUGCUCUGGGCUAUAUUGGCACCAUCUGUAAACGCUGUGGUGAGGUUGACCUCUGUACUUCCACCUGAGGUUGAUGGUGAAAACCAGGGUGGAGUAGCUGCCUGAGGCUUUCCUGCAGUGGGUAUGUGGCAUACUACUGUUUGUGAAACAACGUUUGUAUAUUCAUCUCUAAAGGGCACAGGGAAAGAUCUCUUUUGUUGUUUCAUCUUGCCUCUUAACAAUGCUCGGCAUGUUCAACAGCACUCAAACCCAUCCACUUCCAAAAGCAAUUUAGUCAUGCUUCUUUGUGUUCAUCAAUAGUUUAUUUUGUAACAUAAAUGUUUGUACUUUACAUUUUGUAUUUAUACCACUUCAAAUAAAACAUUUGAAAAUAAAA